GCCUUGAUAGCUUAGUGGAUAGAGCAUCACUUUCCUAUUAGCUGGAAUAUAAACCAAGUGAGGGUCGAGGGUUCGAACCCCUCUCGAGGCG
rnacentral:tRNA from 1 species